UUGAGUUCUCAUCUCUCUGGGUGGGGAAUUGCAUGUAUAAAUCUCCACAUCCAGCCUCAUUUCACACCCCACCCCCCAGUGAGAAGAGAAGUUACUCUUGGGCUUGAUUAUUUCAUAACAGAUAAAAAUGCUUUCAUUUACAGCUAAUAGCUGCAGACUAAAGAAAAUAUGAAUAUUAUUUUCAGUCAGAUAGCCAAGACAUGGGUAAGACCUUAUCCUAUCCCAACUUGGCACCGAAGGUGUAGCCACUUUACUCUCUCCUUGUUUUCAUCAUCCUGUUGCUGAGUUCUCUGCUACAGAAGCAAAUGUUUUCCAGUUACAGCACCUGGCAUCCUUCAUAGGUUUUUUUUUUUCAAUCAGAAUGAAAACAAACAAUGACAUGAAAUGUUUUUUAUUGCAGAUGCAUAUUUUAGCUUCUCCUUAUACUGUGUUUAUGUUAAUCAUUAACUUGUGUGCAGUUUAUAAUUGUGUUGUGUUGUGUUGUAACAUCUCUCACUUUUGUUUAUAUUUUUCAUCCAGUAGCUACUUCAAAAAUGUUCUGUAUGAUUGACAGUGUGUGGAACGACCUCCAAAUAGAAGUAUUACUUUUAUAAAACUAGAUUUAAUUCAAUACAAUUUGUCACACCUGAUUCAAUUUCCUUUAGUGCACUAGUACUUGUAAACCCAUUGUAAUAUUAAUGACAUUAUCUGUCUUCUUGCAUUCACUGACAAUGUGAGCGCCUGUAUCCCAGACCUAUACAUUGUGGACCUGUUUGGAUGGUACCCAUGCAAGGCAAAUUAUAUUUCUGUUUGGGAGGGGGUGUACGUGUUUCAAAAAAGAUUCAUUCUAAGGGUUCUGUGAAAUUGUUGUGUCUGUGAAAAAUGCAAAGUAUACUUCUGUUAAUUUGGCAAAGAAGUGAAAUUAAAUCAUGUCCAUAAAAUUACAUCCUGUGUUUCCUGUAUCCUAUUUUUAUUUUAUAGAAAUAUAUAAAUGUACAAAUAAAUGAAGGAAAUUUAAAACAAUCUGAAAUACACUACUGUAAGCCUUAGCCAUAGUUUUAGCCAGCAGUAAAAUUGAAAAUAGAAAUAUUGCUCAUGUAAACUGUUAAUUUAACCAUACAUCUUAGUUUCUCUUUAUAGAUUUAACUAGUAGUAAAUACUAUUCUGACAGUCCCUACUAUGAAGUCGAUCUCUACAAGUUAUGGGGGACAAAGUAAUGCAUAAAAUCUUGUAAUUUCUUUUCUUCCUAAGUGCAGCAAAAUAACAUGGAUCAGUUCUGAUAUUUGGGGAGGGGGGUAAAACAAUCCACCAUAGCUCCUUUUUCAAGAUGUGUGUUAAUAAGUCUUUCAUGUACCACAAAGGGGAGCACAGCACUUUAAAAUAAUAAAACUGAUACCUCACAGGGCUGUUGUGGGACUUAACUCAUUAAUGUUAUUGAAGCAUUUUGAAAUCUUCCAAGGAAAGCUGCUUUAUAACUUCAGAUCAUAAUUAAACAAUUGUCAGACUACUGGAUUUUUCUUUUUAUUGUUCAUAUGCCUAAUAAUUAAGAAAAAGAUUCUUUAUAAGGAAAAGAUUUAUAAUUUUCUCAGAUGGAAGCCAUUUACAUUGUCAUAAUGGAAUGACAACUCUACAGAUUUAUGGGAAAAGGCUGCAGUUUUAUUAAGGCACAAUGAUUAACCAACUAUUAAAAUAUGCCAGUAUUAAACACAUCAACAACUUAUAUUACUUCAGAGGUCUCUUAAAUGUGAGGCCAUAACAACCCUAUUGACCUUCAAUAUAGCUAUAUCCAGCAAUCAGGUCACUCAACGUUCCUAGGGUGAGUUCUUCCAGUACCAACGUAAGUAUCUUCUGGCAGCUUUUCCUCUUGAAAGAUGAUUACUCAGCACUUACCACCCACAAAGGACAUUGUGGUAACUUCACCUUCCAUGCCUUUUCACACUAAGUUUGUUGGCCUAGCUGGGUUACUAAAUAACACUUGCUGCAGUGAUAAGGAGACAAAUUUCAAUGACACUAGUGCAUACUUCGGGAACAUUAAAAAAAAAUUAAUAGCUUAGUUUGCAUUUUAAUCUGUAGCCCUCAGUAUGAUUUUUCUUUUAAAUCUUUUAACAGCAAGAGAGAAAAAAAAGGGAAAGAUUCAAAGUGAUCAAUAACCCUUCACCCCCCCCACUCAUUCAAGAUCAAUUUUUUAAAUAAAGCAACUGAGAACCGAGUGAGAAUCCAUUUUUAUGGGAAAGGAGGCAACAAAAUCCAUCAAAGGAGAUAAGGGACACUAGAAAAGGGACUGGGACUCAGAAAACCCUGGGUUCAUUUCCCAGAUCGCCACUGGCCUGUUGUGUGACUUUGGACAAGUCACUUCACCUGUGCCUCAGUUUCUC